ACUACUAUUCCUCUGAAAAUCACAGAAAGAAAACAUAUAUUUGCACCAUGUAGCCCAGAUGCCAGAGAUUAAUAUAUUUCCCUUUCCUAGAAAAGAGUUUUACAGAAUGGUCACUUUAACUUCUCUUGUAUAAUUAUUCACAAAAGGGCUGGGCAAAAAUUUCCAAUAAUUGCAAAAAUGUUAUUAAAUAAAAUUUACCUACUUAGGAAGACAAAUUUUUCACUAUGGUAGUAUAUAUUCCUCUGUAAUUUGCAUUUUGUUAAUAUAAUUAAACUAGAUGUGAAUGUAGUUAAAGGCUAAAACUAAAAGCUACAAAAAGUAUUUUUGCAAUAAUUCAAAGUGUGAUAAUAAAUAAAAAACAUUAUUAAUUUAAUAUUUAUUAAAAAUAGGAUAAAACAAAACCAGCCAUUGAACCACCUGGCUAAUAAUUUCACACAUUUGACACUUCCAGUUUAUACUUCACAUACCUGCCAGAAUAUCUCAUAUUGCUGUAAGUUUAAUUAUUCUUAAUACAUAACUAAUUUCCAAAUGUUUUUCUCCAAAUCAUACUUGUACUGGGAGUUCCAGAUGUCUGUAUCCAACCACAUAGUUCCUAUCUCAAUAUUCAAAUAUAUGUAUACAGGCCGAGCACGGUGGCUCACGCCUGUAAUCCCAGCACUUUGGGAGGCUGAGGUGGGCAGAUCAUCUGGGGCCAGGAGUUUGAGACCAGCCUGGCCAAUGUGGCGAAACCCUAUCUCUACUAAAAAUACGAAAAUUAGCCAGGCAUGGUGGUGUGCGCCUGUAAUCCCAGCUACUCGGGAGGCUGAGGCAAGAGAAUUGCUUAAACCUGGGAGGCGGAGAUUGCAGUGAGCAGAGAUGCACUCCAGCCUGGGGGACAGAGCGAGAUUCAGUCUAAAUAUAUAAAUAUAUAUACACAUAUAUAUGUGUGUAUAUAUAUACAUAUACACACACACAUAUACAUAUUCAAUCAUGAGUCACUUAAUGGGGAUAUGUUUUGAGACGUGUCAACAGACAGUUUCAUCCAUGUGCAAACAUAGAGUGUACUUCCACAAACCUAGGUGAUAUGUCCUUCUACACAUCUAGCCUAUGUGGUAUAGCCUAUGGCUCCUAGACUAGAAACCUGUGCAGCUUGUUACUGUACUGAAUACUGCAGGCAAUC
rnacentral:lncRNA from 10 species